rnacentral:rRNA from 1 species
AGAUUGAACGCUGGCGGCAGGCCUAACACAUGCAAGUCGAGCGGCAGCACGGGUACUUGUACCGGGUGGCGAGCGGCGGACGGGUGAGUAAUGCCUAGGAAUCUGCCUGAUAGUGGGGGAUAACGUUCGGAAACGGACGCUAAUACCGCAUACGUCCUACGGGAGAAAGCGGGGGACCUUCGGGCCUCGCGCCAUUAGAUGAGCCUAGGUCGGAUUAGCUAGUUGGUGAGGUAAUGGCUCACCAAGGCGACGAUCCGUAACUGGUCUGAGAGGAUGAUCAGUCACACUGGGACUGAGACACGGUCCAGACUCCUACGGGAGGCAGCAGUGGGGGAAUAUUGGACAAUGGGACGAAAGCCUGAUCCAGCCAUGCCGCGUGUGUGAAGAAGGUCUUACGGAUUGUAAAAGCUAACGUUUAAGUUGGGG